rnacentral:tRNA from 1 species
UAGCUCAGUGGUAGAGCACUUGCCUAGCAUGUGUGAGGCCCUGGGUUCAAUCCCCAG